CCUUGCUUGUUGGGGACAGUGACCAGGGCCUGAUGUCUGCUCCUGUUGUCUUUGCUUCUAACCAGCUACCACCAUCCAUGGCGUCUUUGUCUACACUGGCCAGACUGGCGUCAAGAUUUCAAUGCCUGUUAGAAGCUACAGACUUGGAAUAUGAUGCUCAAGCCCAUGUCCACGUGCAAAUGAUGAGACUUGGAGGGAUAACGCCUUCAGGGUCUUCUUCAGUUCAUGGAUUAGCAGAAAACCCUGGAGACCGAGGAGGAGAAGGAAGGGGCAAGGUACAGUGUGCACAUUAUUGUUACACAUAGGAAGUUCUUCAAAGAGAUGGUAUGUGAGAAAAUGGAUGUAAAACCUGAGAUGGCUCAGUGGUUAAGAACACUGACUGUUCUUCCAGAGGUCCUGAGUUCAAUUCCCAGCAAUCACAUGGUGGCUCACAACCAUAAGAUCUGAUGCCCUCUUCUGGUGUGUCUGAAGACAGCAACAGUGUACUUAUAUAUAAU
rnacentral:lncRNA from 1 species